AUUGAACGCUGGCGGCAGGCCUAACACAUGCAAGUCGAGCGCGAAAGUCUUCGGAUGAGUAAAGCGGCGAACGGGUGAGUAAUGCAUGGGAAUCUGCCUGGUAGUGGGGGACGACGUCUCGAAAGGGACGCUAAUACCGCAUACGCCCUACGGGGAAAGGGGGAGGUCUUCGGUACCGUCUCGCUAUCAGAUGAGCCCACUGUCAGAUUAGCUAGUUGGUAGGGUAAAGGACCUACCAAGGCGACGAUCUGUAACUGGUCUGAGAGGAUGAUCAGUCACACUGGAACUGAGACACGGUCCAGACUCCUACGGGA
rnacentral:rRNA from 1 species